GACGUGGGGGGCGAGCGUUGUCCGGAGUCACUGGGCGUAAAGGGCGCGCAGGCGGUCGCGUGGGCCAUCGCGUGAAAGCCCCCGGCUCAACCGGGCGGUGGCGGGUGGGACCGCGCGGCUGGAGGGUGGUAGGGGCCGGUGGAAUUCCCGGUGUAGUGGUGAAAUGCGUAGAUACCGGGAGGAACACCCGCAGCGAAGGCGGCCGGCUGGGCCAACCCUGACGCUGAGGCGCGAAGGCUCGGGGAGCGAACGGG
rnacentral:rRNA from 1 species